rnacentral:rRNA from 1 species
CGGAGGGUGCAAGCGUUAUCCGGAUUCACUGGGUUUAAAGGGUGCGUAGGUGGAUUAGUAAGUCAGUGGUGAAAUCUCUGGGCUUAACUCAGAAACUGCCAUUGAUACUAUUAAUCUUGAAUACCGUGGAGGUCAGCGGAAUAUGUCAUGUAGCGGUGAAAUGCUUAGAUAUGACAUAGAACACCAAUUGCGAAGGCAGCUGGCUACACGAAUAUUGACACUGAGGCACGAAAGCGUGGGGAUCAAACAGGAUUAGAUACCCUGGUAGUCCACGCCCUAAACGAUGGAUACUCGACAUUUGCGAUAAACUGCAAGUGUCUGAGCGAAAGCAUUAAGUAUCCCACCUGGGAAGUACGAUCGCAAGAUUG